CAGCAGUAGCCACGGUAAUACGAAGGGUGCAAGCGUUAAUCGGAAUUACUGGGCGUAAAGCGUGCGUAGGCGGUGAGUUAAGUCUGCUGUGAAAUCCCCGGGCUCAACCUGGGAAUGGCAGUGGAUACUGGCUCGCUAGAGUGUGUCAGAGGAUGGUGGAAUUCCCGGUGUAGCGGUGAAAUGCGUAGAGAUCGGGAGGAACAUCAGUGGCGAAGGCGGCCAUCUGGGACAACACUGACGCUGAGGCACGAAAGCGUGGGGAGCAAACAGGAUUAGAUACCCCCGUAGUCCCUGUCUCUUAUAC
rnacentral:rRNA from 1 species